rnacentral:lncRNA from 1 species
GUCUAAAUGUGAUUUGCCGUGCCCUGUUAAAUAGCUGUUGGACUUCCACCUCCAGGCAUGUGGUGGUGAAUCAGAUGGAAAUUGUUUGACAUAGCACCUUUGACUGCUUUACCAACCAAUAACUUCUCACAGCUUAGACCCCAAAAGAGGUGACAAGGACAAAUUGUUAUUACAGAUCAUUAAAUCAACACCUGGUACCCAUUUGCAGUUGAUUUUAGCCAACUCUGAUUUUUGUCAAGCUCCAACAGGAUGUGGCACAUUUGUCUAUUCACCUGCUUUUUCCUGCUCUUUGUGUUCUGUGUGUCCCUUGUCCGUGUAGGCUGGACGUGGAUGGAGACUGUUCUAAUUUUCCAACCACUCCAAUGAUCUUGACCUUCUGUCCUGUCGCACCUGUGCCUCUUCAACUCAUUACACCCCAGCAGUUUUGGAGUGUGGUUCACAGUUCCCAUCAUCUGAUUUCCUUAAAAAAAAGGAUACUUGGAAAGGCUUUGAAACCCUCCAGCGAUGGCGUGAUGGGUGAACUUGUAGCAUCAUCUCCUCUUCAACACCGACCGUAAAUCACCGGAGACGGAAGGAAUGUUGCUUCUGAAGAACAAACAGUCCCACUUCCACCUGUUCCACUGUCUAAUUGACACUGACUGGAUGGCAUCACUCAGCAAGAGACCCUUAAUGAACAAACUGCUGCUGGACCACUGACUGUGCUAAGCUAGCUCUGGGCUUGGAGUGAUGGGGGCAGGCACUGUGAACUGUUCCCCUCCCAUCCCUCAGCUUUCCUGGGGAGGAAGCCAGGUCUUUCAUCCCCACUCAGGCUCCCUGCCAACAGAACAGUGAAUAAUUCAGCACCUUCUGGACAGAUCAUUUAUAACAAAAUAUCUGCUUAUUCAACAGAUUGAUGUCAGCAUAUAGCACCACGUGGACAGGUUUGUAUACCUUGACAUGGAAAAGAAAGACUCUGAGCUGGGGAUGGGAGUGCGCAGAUGGUUUUACCUUAUGUAAAAUCCAUAUGAGCAAAGGAUUAUCACACACAUCAUCAGUUACGCAAUUGGUCUUUCUAUUUUGUUGGUUUAGUUUUAUAUAGUCAUGUAUUUGAAGAAUGAGCAAACUGUAGAUGUACAAGACUCUCUCAAUGUAAUGAGAAAAAUUAUUUGCUCCUAUUAAAUAAAGGAGAUAAAUUGGUCUCACCUCAUAAAGCAGAA